rnacentral:rRNA from 1 species
CCUACGGGUGGCAGCAGUGAGGAAUAUUGGUCAAUGGACGGAAGUCUGAACCAGCCAUGCCGCGUGCAGGAAGACGGCCCUAUGAGUUGUAAACUGCUUUUGUACAAGGGUAAACCUGAAUACGUGUAUUCAGCUGAAAGUACUGUAAGAAUAAGGAUCGGCUAACUCCGUGCCAGCAGCCGCGGUAAUACGGAGGAUUCAAGCGUUAUCCGGAUUUAUUGGGUUUAAAGGGUGCGCAGGGGGAGUGAGAAGUUAGGGGGGAAAUGUCCGGGCCUAACCCGGGAACUGCCUCUAAUACUGUUGACCUAGAGAGUAGAAGCGGUAGGCGGAAUGUAUGGUGUAGCGGUGAAAUGCUUAGAGAUCAUACAGAACACCGAUUGCGAAGGCAGCUUACCAAUCUGUAUCUGACGUUGAGGCACGAAAGCGUGGGGAUCGAACAGGAUUAGAUACCCCAGUAGUC